rnacentral:lncRNA from 1 species
UGUGUAUGUGGGUUGUCUAUGUAUGUGUGUGUGUGUGUGGUGUGGUGUGUAUGUGGGCUAUCUCNNNNNNNNNNUGUGUGUGUGUGUGUGUGUGUGUGUGUGUGUGUGUGUGUGUGUGUGUGUAUUCAAGAAUUAUCAGGGACUUCUCUCCUAGGUUCCUGCUCAGCUUCUCUUCUUUCCACCACAGAGUCCAGCGAGAGGCCAUACCGUGGCAACCAUUUGAGCUGGUUCCCUGGAGGCAUUUCUCCACUUUUCAACUGUCCAUACUUCAGAGUGGAACAGUCAUGGCUGCAACACCAGGACCCAGGCAUAGGCUGCAGAACUACUUCUUGCGUAAAUGAACUAGAUAAUAGCAACUGAAAUGAAUCAGAGCCAAUGAUCAGAAGGCAGAAGGCAGAAGGCAGAAGGCAGAUGCAGUUCAACACUGGGAGAUGUUCCAAAACCAAAACUUAGGCCUAGAAGAAGAAGCUAUCAGGAUCUAAUGAAUUAGCCUGUUAAAAACAUACCAGAAGAAGCCAGCCAAUCACCUGUCAGCAGUGCUGUGGCAGACAACCACUUUUUGAGAGUAUCCUUGGUAUGUUUUUGAAAAGAAAAUGAAUCUGGGUCGUGAGAAAUCAAA